GACGAACGCUGGCGGCGUGCUUAACACAUGCAAGUCGAACGGAAAGGCCCUGCUUGCAGGGUACUCGAGUGGCGAACGGGUGAGUAACACGUGGGUGAUCUGCCCUGCACUUCGGGAUAAGCCUGGGAAACUGGGUCUAAUACCGGAUAGGAGCCCUUUUUAGUGUGAUGGUUGGAAAGUUUUUUCGGUGUAGGAUGAGCUCGCGGCCUAUCUGCUUGUUGGUGGGGUAAUGGCCUACCAAGGCGGCGACGGGUAGCCGGCCUGAGAGGGUGGACGGCCACAUUGGGACUGAGAUACGGCCCAGACUCCUACGGGAGGCAGCAGUGGGGAAUAUUGCACAAUGGGCGCAAGCCUGAUGCAGCGACGCCGCGUGGGGGAUGACGGCCUUCGGGUUGUAAACUCCUUUCGCUAGGGACGAAGCUUUUUGUGACGGUACCUAGAUAAGAAGCACCGGCUAACUACGUG
rnacentral:rRNA from 1 species